rnacentral:lncRNA from 1 species
GCAGCAAAGUACAAUUGCUGGCAUUGAAGCACGGAUGGGUGUUAUGUUCUAUAUGGUGGGAAGAUAUGAAGAGGCACACAGUUCCUUUGAAAAUGCUGUAGCAAAACUUAGAGCUGUGGGUGAGAGGAAGUCAGCCUUCUUUGGGGUUGUUUUGAAUCAGAUGGGAUUGUCUUCUGUUCAAUUGUUCAAAAUAGAUGAGGCUGCUGAAUUAUUUGAAGAAGCAAGACAAAUUCUGGAACAGGAGUGUGGUCCUUGUCAUCAAGAUACUCUUGGUGUCUACAGCAAUCUUGCAGCAACGCUUAGAGCUGGGGGUGAGAGGAAGUCAGCCUUCUUUGGGGUUGUCUUGAAUCAGAUGGGAUUGUCUUCUGUUCAAUUGUUCAAAAUAGAUGAGGCUGCUGAAUUAUUUGAAGAAGCAAGACAAAUUCUGGAACAGGAGUGUGGUCCUUGUCAUCAAGAUACUCUUGG